UACGUAGGUGACAAGCGUUGUCCGGAUUUACUGGGCGUAAAGCGUCCGCAGGUGGCUGUGUAAGUCUGCUGUCAAAGAGCGAAGCUCAACUUCGUAAAGGCAGUGGAAACUACACGGCUAGAGUGCGUUCGGGGCAGGUGGAAUUCCCGGUGUAGCGGUGGAAUGCGUAGAGAUCGGGAAGAACAUCAGUGGCGAAGGCGGCCUGCUGGGCUGUUGCUGACGCUGAGGCGCGACAGCGUGGGGAGCAAACAGG
rnacentral:rRNA from 1 species